rnacentral:misc_RNA from 1 species
GAUGAAGAACGCAGCGAAAUGCGAUAAGUAAUGUGAAUUGCAGAAUUCCGUGAAUCAUCGAAUCUUUGAACGCACAUUGCGCCCCCUGGCAUUCCGGGGGGCAUGCCUGUCCGAGCGUCAUUUCUGCCCUCCAGCCCGGCUGGGUGUUGGGCGCUGUCCCCCCGGAGACACGCCCCAAAGGCAGUGGCGGCGCCGCGUCGGGUCCUCGAGCGUAUGGGGCUUUGUCACCCGCUCGGGACGGACUCGUCGGCGCUGGUCUUCCUCCAGGCGACCCUUCGGGGCUCGUCUUCCUUCGGUUGACCUCGGAUCAGGUAGGGUUACCCGCUGAACUUAAGCAUAUCAAUAAGCGGAGGA